rnacentral:rRNA from 1 species
UACAGAGGUCUCAAGCGUUAGGCGGAAUCACUGGGCUUAAAGCGUGUGUAGGUGGAUCGGUAAGUACCUUGUGAAAUCCCACAGCUUAACUGUGGAACUGCUUGGUAUACUGCCAGUCUUGAGCCAGCUAGGGGCUACCGGAACAAAUGGUGGAGCGGUGAAAUGCGUAGAUAUCAUUUGGAACGCCAAUGGUGAAAACAGGUAGCUGGGGCUGUGCUGACACUGAGACACGAAAGCCAGGGGAGCAAACGGG